CGGACACCGCCUACCAAGACUUCACUAAGCGAGCAACGAAGCAUCGGAUUCCAUGAUGAGCCAGGAGCAGCAGCAGACGUGUUCGCCGUCAAGGGAGAGCUGGCCAGGACGCCCACCGGGCUGGAGGACGCGGCCAUGAUGCAGGCCGCGGAGAACGCCGUGCUGGGGCAGGCGCCCAGGGGCGAGGCCGCUGCCGUCAUGCAGUCCGCAUCCAGGCGCAAAGGCCGCCUCGGCGUCGUGCCCCGCGACGAGGCCACCGACGCAGCCGCUGACGGUUGGGUCGCCGUCACCGAGGCGCGCGUGCCGGGCUUCCGCGUCAAGCACGCACGGAGUUCGUGGCCGACCAGGACACCUCUUGCGGCGGAACAGCAAGGCAAGGCGCGGUGUCCGCGGAGUGCUGGACGGCCGGGAGCAGGAUAACGAUCGGCAAGGCGCUGGAGGCGACCGCGUUCUCCGCAGGCGACGAGCCUGUGGAGUGGAGGCGAGCGACGCGGCCGAGGCGCGCGCGACCGGGCUGGACGAGGCGGACAAGGAGGUGGAGCGGUAAGACGCGGCGCGGCCGGGUGGGGUGGGCGCGUCCAUCGCCGCCGCCGCCGCGCGGGUGAACCACGGCCGGCAGUAGUAGCUGGGACGCAUGCCGAAGAUCCUAUCGACCGACGAAUGACGAUACGCUACACGCUUGCUGCUGUUUGCAGUGCGAGUUUUGUUUGCACCAACAACAAGCUGUAAAAAGCAUGGAUCGAGAGACGGAGAAGCGACCGAAA